UACGUAGGGAGCAAGCGUUAUCCGGAUUUACUGGGUGUAAAGGGCGCGCAGGCGGGCCGGCAAGUUGGGAGUGAAAUCUAUGGGCUUAACCCAUAAACUGCUUUCAAAACUGUUGGUCUUGAGUGAUGGAGAGGCAGGCGGAAUUCCGUGUGUAGCGGUGAAAUGCGUAGAUAUACGGAGGAACACCAGUGGCGAAGGCGGCCUGCUGGACAUUAACUGACGCUGAGGCGCGAAAGCGUGGGGAGCAAACAGG
rnacentral:rRNA from 1 species